rnacentral:piRNA from 1 species
UUAAGAUGGCCAAAGCACUGA